GCCCUUAGAGUUUGAUCCUGGCUCAGAUUGAACGCUGGCGGCAGGCCUAACACAUGCAAGUCGAGCGGUAGAGAGAAGCUUGCUUCUCUUGAGAGCGGCGGACGGGUGAGUAAUGCCUAGGAAUCUGCCUGGUAGUGGGGGACAACGUUCGGAAACGGACGCUAAUACCGCAUACGUCCUACGGGAGAAAGCAGGGGACCUUCGGGCCUUGCGCUAUCAGAUGAGCCUAGGUCGGAUUAGCUAGUUGGUGAGGUAAUGGCUCACCAAGGCGACGAUCCGUAACUGGUCUGAGAGGAUGAUCAGUCACACUGGAACUGAGACACGGUCCAGACUCCUACGGGAGGCAGCAGUGGGGAAUAUUGGGCAAUGGGCGAAAGCCUGAUCCAGCCAUGCCGCGUGUGUGAAGAAGGUCUUCGGAUUGUAAAGCACUUUAAGUUGGGAGGAAGGGUUGUAGAUUAAUACUCUGCAAUUUUGACGUUACCGACAGAAAAGCACCGGUAUCAGUUUA
rnacentral:rRNA from 1 species